GUAAAUUUCCAAUACCUUGAUUACUUUCUUACAAACAAAUGCUAGUUCUUUCAAACGAAGUCGAGUAAUUGCUCAUCUUAACAUCAGCUCAUAGUGUGAAAACUGCCAUGGCCCCUAGGCCCUGCAAAUUGUCACCAUUGUUGUUCAUUGGCAACUAAGUUACUGUGUUUGCAUUUCUCUGCCUCUGAAAAUGAUCUUUGCCUUGGCUCUUCGGCAAAUAUCUGGGACCCAAUUGUGAUUUCUAGAAACUUGACCACAUGUUUUCGCCUUGUAAGAAUGUGAGUUUAGGAAUUUUAUGUAUUCAACUGAUCCACUCAUCAAAUAUAAAAAUGGAUAGAGUUUUACACACGCCACACCUUUUUCCAAUGGCUUUCUAUGAAUUUUAGUUGAAGCGACUGUCACUGUUUUUUUCUUUUUGUUGCUGGACCAGCCAAACUGCGUUGCCAGAGUUAUUUCUGGGAGAAAUGAGAAGAAGGUAAACGUUCCUAUCCCUGCACGUUAGCUUUUCUUAUGGUCAUGAAGCCAAACGCUAACACAAUAGGGACAAUGCACGGUAUUUAUAGAAGGCUGUUAUAAACAAACUGAAGAGUUUCAUUCUGGGUUUUGAGUAGUAUUAAAUUGAAAUAUGCA
rnacentral:lncRNA from 1 species